CAGAGAGCCAGUGCCACCCUUAAAAGACUAGACAGAGCCACUAAGGGGCCCUUACUCGACAGCUGCCCUGGAAAUGCUGUUCUGAUGACCGCAGAUUGCAAGAUUUAAAAUAAAAGUUUCAAAGGUGAAAAGCUUGGCCUUCCUCCCAGUCUUAUUAAGGAGAGCAUGUUCUCCAACAUUAAGUGCAAUGCCAACUGGGAACACUGAGCCGCUACAGGUUGAAGACCCUUUCCAUCAGCAAUGACUACUUUUCUUGCCUGGUAUGGGAAGAUUUUCAUUCACUGACAAUCUGGUCAAAAUAAGGAUCAAGUUUACUCUCAUACUGGAAGCGCGGGAUGUAGGAGAGCAUCAAAAGAUUAUCUCCAGGUGAGAGUCAGCCAGGGCAAGGAAAGAGAGCCAUGCAAGUAGAGGAGGAAGUUACAAAGAAAGACUCUAUCCUGACUGGAGAAGAAUGAUGCUAAAAUUGGAGAAAUAAGUUGAGCUUGCUAAUACAGGGGAUUCCAAAAGAAAGGGACUGAUGAAUCAUCAUAUAAAUGUGUCACAGCACUUGGAAGAAAACAUGCAAUGAGGAAACCAGGGCUUGAAGAUCUCAAGGAACUUAUGAAGUAGUGAAUGGAGCUAGAAUUUGAACAAAACCAAAUGGACCAAUGGAAGUGAAUAGAGGAUGCUCAAAUAAGCCCAGGCACAUUCAGCUAUCUAAUCUUUGAUAAAGGGCCCCAAAACAUACACUGGGGGA